rnacentral:tRNA from 1 species
AUAUUCCUAGUUUAGUUUUAGAAUUUUAGUUUGUCGUACUAGAGGUGGGGUUAUCUCGGGAUAUG